UACGGGGGGUGCGAGCGUUGUCCGGAAUCACUGGGCGUAAAGGGCGCGUAGGUGGUUUGAUAAGGGUGUGGUGAAAGUCCGGGGCUCAACCCCGGAUCUGCCGUGCCGACUGUCAAACUCGAGGGCUGUAGAGGCAGACGGAAUUCCUGGUGUAGCGGUGAAAUGCGCAGAUAUCAGGAGGAACACCUAUGGCGAAGGCAGCUCGCUGGGACGGUACUGACGCUGAGACGCGAAAGCGUGGGGAGCGAACAGG
rnacentral:rRNA from 1 species